GAUGAAGAACGUAGCAAAAUGCGAUAAGUAAUGUGAAUUGCAGAAUUCAGUGAAUCAUCGAAUCUUUGAACGCACAUUGCGCCCGCCAGUAUUCUGGCGGGCAUGCCUGUUCGAGCGUCAUUUCAACCCUCAAGCUCAGCUUGGUGUUGGGACUCGCGGUAACCCGCGUUCCCCAAAUCGAUUGGCGGUCACGUCGAGCUUCCAUAGCGUAGUAAUCAUACACCUCGUUACUGGUAAUCGUCGCGGCCACGCCGUAAAACCCCAACUUCUGAAUGUUGACCUCGGAUCAGGUAGGAAUACCCGCUGAACUUAAGCAUAUCAUAAGCGGAGGA
rnacentral:misc_RNA from 1 species